GAUGAACGCUAGCUACAGGCUUAACACAUGCAAGUCGAGGGGAAACGACAUCGAAAGCUUGCUUUUGAUGGGCGUCGACCGGCGCACGGGUGAGUAACGCGUAUCCAACCUGCCCACCACUUGGGGAUAACCUUGCGAAAGUAAGACUAAUACCCAAUGAUAUCCCACGAAGGCAUCCGAAUGGGAUUAAAGAUUUAUCGGUGAUGGAUGGGGAUGCGUCUGAUUAGCUUGUUGGCGGGUAACGGCCCACCAAGGCUACGAUCAGUAGGGGUUCUGAGAGGAAGGUCCCCCACAUUGGAACUGAGACACGGUCCAAACUCCUACGGGAGGCAGCAGUGAGGAAUAUUGGUCAAUGGGCGAGAGCCUGAACCCAGCCAAGUAGCGUGCAGGACGACGGCCCUAU
rnacentral:rRNA from 1 species